rnacentral:tRNA from 2 species
GCCCUCGUAGCUCAGCAGGUUAGAGCGCGUUCUUGGUAAGAACGAGGUCUCCGGUUCGAAUCCGGACGAGGGCUCCA